rnacentral:rRNA from 1 species
AUUGAACGCUGGCGGCAGGCCUAACACAUGCAAGUCGAGCGGAUGAAGAGAGCUUGCUCUCUGAUUCAGCGGCGGACGGGUGAGUAAUGCCUAGGAAUCUGCCUGGUAGUGGGGGACAACGUUUCGAAAGGAACGCUAAUACCGCAUACGUCCUACGGGAGAAAGUGGGGGAUCUUCGGACCUCACGCUAUCAGAUGAGCCUAGGUACGAUUAGCUAGUUGGUGAGGUAAAGGCUCACCAAGGCGACGAUCGUUAACUGGUCUGAGAGGAUGAUCAGUCACACUGGAACUGAGACACGGUCCAGACUCCUACGGGAGGCAGCAGUGGGGAAUAUUGGACAAUGGGCGAAAGCCUGAUCCAGCCAUGCCGCGUGUGUGAAGAAGGUCUUCGGAUUGUAAAGCACUUUAAGUUGGGAGGAAGGGCAGUAAGUUAAUACCUUGCUGUUUUGACGUUACCGACAGAAUAAGCACCGGCUAACUUCGUGCCAGCAGCCGCCGUAA